rnacentral:rRNA from 1 species
UACCAUGCAGUCGAGCGCGAAACACUUCGGUGUAAGUAGAGCGGCGGACGGGUGAGUAAUGCUUGGGAAUCUGCCCAGUAGUGGGGGAUAACGUGUGGAAACGCACGCUAAUACCGCAUACGUCCUACGGGAGAAAGCAGGGGAUCUUCGGACCUUGCGCUAUUGGAUGAGCCCAAGUCAGAUUAGCUAGUUGGUGAGGUAAUGGCUCACCAAGGCGACGAUCUGUAGCUGGUCUGAGAGGAUGAUCAGCCACACUGGGACUGAGACACGGCCCAGACUCCUACGGGAGGCAGCAGUGGGGAAUAUUGCACAAUGGGCGAAAGCCUGAUGCAGCCAUGCCGCGUGUGUGAAGAAGGCUCUAGGGUUGUAAAGCACUUUCAGUGGGGAGGAAAAGUUUAAGAAUAAUACUCUUGAACCUUGACGUUACCUGCAGAAGAAGCACCGGCAAACUCCGUGCCAGCCGCCGGGGGUA